rnacentral:rRNA from 1 species
UACGAAGGGUGCUAGCGUUGUUCGGAAUCACUGGGCGUAAAGCGCGCGUAGGCGGCUAUCCAAGUCAGGGGUGAAAUCCUGGGGCUCAACCCCAGAAUUGCCUUUGAAACUGAUAAGCUUGAGUGUCGGAGGGGAUAGCGGAAUUCCUAAUGUAGAGGUGAAAUUCGUAGAUAUUAGGAGGAACACCGGUGGCGAAGGCGGCUAUCUGGACGACAACUGACGCUGAGGCGCGAAAGCGUGGGGAUCAAACAGG